CACAUGCAAGUCGAACGCGUGUAGCAAUACACGAGUGGCGCACGGGUGAGUAACACGUGGGAAUCAACCCAGAGGUUCGGAAUAACCGCGGGAAACUGCGGCUAAUACCGAAUAUCCCCUGCGGGGGAAAGAUUUAUCGCCUUUGGACGAGCCCGCGUCCGAUUAGCUAGUUGGUGAGGUAAUGGCUCACCAAGGCGACGAUCGGUAGCUGGUCUGAGAGGACGACCAGCCACACUGGAACUGAGACACGGUCCAGACUCCUACGGGAGGCAGCAGUGGGGAAUAUUGGGCAAUGGAGGCAACUCUGACCCAGCCAUGCCGCGUGGGUGACGAAGGUCUUCGGAUUGUAAAGCCCUUUCGGCGGGGACGAUGAUGACGGUACCGGAAGAAGAAGCACCGGCUAACUACGUGCCAGCAGCCGCGGUAAUACGUAGGGUGCGAGCGUUAAUCGGAAUUACUGGGCGUAAAGCGUGCGCAGGCGGUUUGCUAAGACAGGUGUGAAAUCCCCGGGCUUAACCUGGGAACUGCGCUUGUGACUGGCAGGCUGGAGUACGGCAGAGGGGGGUGGAAUUCCUGGUGUAGCAGUGAAAUGCGUAGAGAUCAGGAGGAACACCGAUGGCGAAGGCAGCCCCCUGGGCCUGUACUGACGCUCAUGCACGAAAGCGUGGGGAGCAAACAGGAUUAGAUACCCUGGUAGUCCACGCCCUAAACGAUGUCAACUGGUUGUUGGUCCUUCACUGGAUCAGUAACGAAGCU
rnacentral:rRNA from 1 species